AUUUUCCUUCAUUUGUUUUUAUACCUAUCUUUUCCAGUUUCUAUGCUGAUUUUGGACCACUGAAUUUGGCACAGUUAUACAGAUAUUGCUGUAAACUCAACAAAAAACUAAAGUCUUUCUCACUUGCAAAGAAGAGAAUUAUCCACUACACAAGCUUUGAUGCCCGAAAGCGAGCCAAUGCUGCAUUUCUGAUCUCGGCAUAUGCAAUAAUUUAUCUGAAGAAAACUCCAGAAGAAGCCUAUAGGCCUUUAGUAGCUGGUUCAAAUCCACCAUUUCUGCCUUUUAGAGAUGCAUCCUUUGGGGCAUGUACAUACAACCUUACUCUUCUGGACUGUUUACACGGACUCAGUAAGGCACUGGCAAAUGGUUUCUUCAAUUUCGAAACAUUUGACGUGGAUGAAUAUGAGCAUUAUGAGAAAGUAGAAAAUGGUGACUUCAACUGGAUUGUGCCAAACAAAUUUUUGGCAUUCUGUGGACCGCACCCAAAAACAAAGAUUGAAAAUGGGUAUCCACUGCAUGCCCCAGAAGCAUACUUUCCAUACUUCAGGAAGCAUAAUGUGACCACCAUUGUUCGGUUGAACAAGAAGAUCUACGAUGCCCGGCGGUUCACAGAUGCAGGCUUUGAUCACUAUGACCUGUUCUUUAUCGACGGGAGCACUCCCAGUGAUAAUAUAGUCAGGCAGUUCAUAGAGUUAUCUGAAAAUGCAGAAGGUGCUAUUGCUGUACAUUGUAAAGCUGGUCUUGGCCGUACAGGAACAUUAAUAGCGUGCUACAUGAUGAAGCACUUCAAAUUCACUGCUGCAGAGUGUAUAGCAUGGUGCAGAAUUUGUAGACCGGGCUCCAUCAUAGGGCCUCAGCAAAACUUCCUAGAAGAGAAGCAAUCGCUAAUGUGGAUGCAGGGAGAUCUAUAUAGGGCUCGUACCAAGGAUGACCGGCGGCGAGAGAGACACCACAGCGUGUCCAAGAUUCUGACUGCUGUCGACGACAUGCGCAUUCAGGACGCCAUCGAGUUAGAGAAGUGUGACUACCGCUCAGAUGAGAAUGACGAAUAUAUGUAUAGUGGUCCCAUUACGAGAGGCAGCAUGUUAGAAACUCAGGGUGACAAACUUAACCAGAUGAAGCUGCUGCGGCAACACCACUCUCGGUCAGCAACCACUGGAGCUCUAGGGCAUGAAGAUGGGAAAGGUCACAAAAGGUCGACCACCCAAGUCUACAGAGCAAGCGGUACCAAAAGUGCCCACUCCUCAGCGGCUCCCAUGUCUCCACUUAAAGCCUCAAAAGUUAGCACCGUCAUAAACAACCACGCCUCCUCUGUCAAGAGAAGUACCAGGCAUGGUACAGGCUCAUCUAGUGCCAAAAGAUCAGUUCCUCAUACUCGAAGUACUAAAGCAGCCGUGAUUCGAUGACAUCAAGGUGGAUUCAAAAUGUCCGACUAUCUGUGAUACAUACAUUAUCUUUGUGUCUAUGCAUUGCAGGCCAGAAAUUUUAAAGAAGAAAGGGGAAUAACUCUUGCACUAUGAAAGUCUUUUAUGUUAUGCUUGAAAGGAUAGUGGAAAUUUACAUAAUCUACAUAGAAGAAUGAAAUAUGUCAAAUUGUAUAAAGGAACAGAAAAUUUGUCAAAUAUUUUGUACAUAUUAUUUAUUAUCUGAUUGAAAUAUACACCCGUUAAUGGAGUUUUGCACUGUAAAUUACGCUUCAUUUUUAUGUUCGAAAAGAAGAUAUCAUUAACCUCUCUGUUUGAAAGUGAAUUUGAUUUUCAGUCUCGAGUACUCCAUCAUAAAUUUCUUACUAGAGAACAUUUUAAUACAAAAUCUCAUUAUAGUAAUCAUGAUGAUGUUUUAUUGCGAACUUUAUUAAAAAAUAAUUUUUAAAAGAAGUAAUAUUUCUUACUAGAGGAAAAUGAUGUCAGUAGAAUAAAAGCAAAAAAAAAAAAUGUAUGUAGAAAUCCUGUCUUGACAAUAACACUCUUUUUGGUGGUUUUUAUUUGAAAUUAUGCUCUUAAGUCAUGUGGAAUUGUAUUUCAAGCCAGUCAAUGUGACUUUUAUUGUUGAAGAAUAUACCUCCAAAGACUUUAGUCUUUCAGUGUCAGAGUAAUGUAUUUAGCACUGUGUGUGUUUAUUGGUCAAAAACUGCUAGUGCUGUUUUCUUUUCUUUUUUAAACUUUGAAUUUUUAACUUAUUUUUAUUGCCACUGUUUUAAACCAAUUCCGAUUUGAAAAGCAAAACAAAGAGUAUCUGAAGCAUAUUUCAUAUAUAUAUUAAGGGAGGUUCAAAUUUUGAUGUAUUUAAUGCCAUUUUAGAUUUGUUCUUAAUAUAAACUGAUUGUACUUGUUUUAUUCAAAGUGUUAAAAAAAGUGUGUUUGCAUGAAAUCAAAUUUCUCAUCAAAUUUUACUACAUGUGUAUAUCCUGUUAUUUAAAGAACAUUUUAAAAUAUCAUCAGAGAUGACCCUAUUUAUAGAACUUCAUGUUUACAUUUACAUUGUGUAUGCUUAUUUUUUAUAUAUCCCCUUUAGAAAUUAUAUGUAUUUUAGGUUAACAAACCACAUUGGCAGAUAUGCGAUUGGGGUGGUGUUUUAUCAAAAAUGACCUUACCUAUACAAAGGUCAUUUUUGGACAGUAUCAAAUAAAGUGGGGUGUUUAUUGCACUGUUCUUUUGUGGUUUUAGUGAUAUUUUUUCCCUUGUUUUUCUCUCUCUCUCACAAUCACAGUCUGUUUUCGGAAUUCACAAUCACGUCCGUAGGAUAUAUCUAGAAUUUCGGGUUUUUUUCUAGCUGAAUAACUUGUGCUUAUUUACAUAUACAUAUAGCUACAUCUUACCAUUCUUCGAAACAGCUAGUCAGUUUCAAAAGUUGGCAUCUUGUUUGGUUGUAACUUGGUGAGUACAGUUUCUGACUGUUGCACUGACAUCACAUCCAUUUCAUUGAACAUGAAAAUAACCUUGUUCAUUUAUUUCUGAGUCAUCCAUAUGUAAGAUAUAGGAAAAAAAACCCUAAGCAUUAAGCAUAGAAGUCAUGUAAAUUCUAAAAAUCCAAUUUAACACGGUAUGUUUAUAAUUUGUUGUCACACAGUAUGGGUUAUAUUGAUGUAUUUGUUUGUUUUUUUUCUGUGUUCAGUUUAAAAGGACUUGUUGAUUUUAUUUUUUAUCUUGAAGAAAAAAAAUAACGAUAGACCAACUAUAUUUUAUGUAUCGGAAUGAAUUGCUUUUUCUAUAGAAUUUUUUUAUUUAUAAAUACAAACAUUUAAAACCAUUGUAUUUUUCUUGGUCUAACUUUUUCAUGUUCUAGCUAUGAAAUGCACCUGUAAUUAACCUGAAUUAAUGGAUAGAUAUUUGUGAAGAUCGUAUUUAUGCUGUAAAUAUACAUACAGAAAACAUGAGUUAUAUUGAUAGUUUAUGAAGUAUUUUAUACAACCUUUGUUUACUAGUUAUUUGAAGAAAAAAGAUGAAAUGAUGAAUAAAACACUUCUAUCU
rnacentral:misc_RNA from 1 species